rnacentral:lncRNA from 1 species
UGUAUGCAAAAUUCCACAUCAAGUGGACGGUUAGAUUGGACGUUAUAGCUUGUUAAAGCUCACUAAUUAGGAUUGGAGUUUAUAAGAAAAAUCUAAAUUGCUUAACUAUGAAAGUAACAAGGUAAUUGAGAUUUAUGUAUAGUUAAGACUAAUAAGAAUAGUGUUUUAAGCACUUUUGAAUUGAAAUUCAGAUUAUAUUCUUCUCACAUGGAUAAAACUUAUUAGAGUUUUUUGGCUA